GGGGAAUUUUGGACAAUGGGCGCAAGCCUGAUCCAGCCAUGCCGCGUGAGUGAAGAAGGCCUUCGGGUUGUAAAGCUCUUUCAGACGGAAAGAAAUCUCUCAGGAUAAUACCUUGGGAGGAUGACGGUACCGUAAGAAGAAGCACCGGCUAACUACGUGCCAGCAGCCGCGGUAAUACGUAGGGUGCGAGCGUUAAUCGGAAUUACUGGGCGUAAAGCGUGCGCAGGCGGUGAUGUAAGACAGAUGUGAAAUCCCCGGGCUCAACCUGGGAACUGCGUUUGUGACUGCAUCACUCGAGUACGGCAGAGGGAGGUGGAAUUCCGCGUGUAGCAGUGAAAUGCGUAGAUAUGCGGAGGAACACCGAUGGCGAAGGCAGCCUCCUGGGCCAGUACUGACGCUCAUGCACGAAAGCGUGGGGAGCAAACA
rnacentral:rRNA from 1 species